AAACGUUUGACACCAGUCAUGCGGAUGAAAAAUCAGUCAAUGGUAGUGGGGAGUGGUAAGGGUUCAGACCGCAAGGCUGGCCUUUGCUUCAUCUUUGUUGCCGUUGAUGCACUUUUUCAUCUGCAGGUCAACAUCAGUUUCCCCUGCUGGACAAAACUCCGAGAGAAGGUAGCAGCUUAGGCUGUGUUAUAGCUCUGGAGCGAUACAGUGGGGGGGACUGAGGAUUUCGCAGUGUGUGCUCUCGGGCAAGGCUGACUGGGUGCUAUGGGAUCGUUCAGCGUACAAUGCUUGCAUUUUGCGUCGUGUCUUUUCUAUACUCGCUCAGCUCAGCUCUUCCACACUUAGGAUGUUGACUUAAUGGUUUUAAACGA
rnacentral:rRNA from 1 species